rnacentral:rRNA from 1 species
AGAGUUUGAUCCUGGCUCAGACAACGCUGCGGCAUGCCUAACACAUGCAAGUCGAACGAAGGCUUUCGGCCUUAGUGGCGCACGGGUGCGUAACGCGUGGGAAUCUGCCCUUAGGUUCGGAAUAACAGCUGGAAACGGCUGCUAAUACCGGAUGAUGACGAAAGUCCAAAGAUUUAUUGCCUGAGGAUGAGCCCGCGUUGGAUUAGGUAGUUGUGGGGUAAAGGCCUACCAAGCCGACGAUCCAUAGCUGGUCUGAGAGGAUGAUCAGCCACACUGGGACUGAGACACGGCCCAGACUCCUACGGGAGGCAGCAGUGGGGAACAUUGGACAAUGGGCGAAAGCCUGAUCCAGCAAUGCCACGUGAGUGAUGAAGGCCCUAGGGUUGUAAAGCUCUUUUACCCGGGAAGAUAAUGACUGUACCGGGAGAAUAAGCCCCGGCUAACUCCGUG